AAGCUUCGUUCGAAAACAUGAUUUGUCGAUUUUGAACAAGUUGUCAUAGACAGCAAGCAUUACCAUGUAUAGUGUGAUGCGUAUCCCAAAUUGUAUGAUCUUAAGGGAUUCAUACAUAUAGCCUGAAUUUUCAAUAUAUAUGUGUAUCUGCAACUCCAAGCGUCAACAACAUUUAUUUGAUAGAAGAAAGUAGCAUCAGUAGAGAAAAUCAAAUGUAGAUGGGUCGUAACAGUUUGGUUAUCAUUCUCAUUAUCGUCUCUCUUUUCGGCCUCCACAAUUGUCAAGACGAAGAUCCCGAUCAUCCAAAGGGAAUAGAAAGAUGCUUUCAACACUUUAUGGGAGAGCCAUGGCAACUCGAGUUUUUGUGCUGUAUCGAAGAUAUUACCGUUUGCUUCCCUUUCACCGAACCAGAAAAUUGCCUCAAGCAAUGUCCGCCGCUACGAAAAGGUGAAGCACCGUCUCCUUCACCUGGUGCAACACUGCCCCCUCUAUGAAUGCUCAAUGAUUAAGCUCCCUAGCCUUUUUAUAUCAUGUACUCUCCUGACCCACAUGAGAGGUCUACUACAAUGUCAUCAAUAAGUUAUUAAUGCCAAACUCAGUUUUGCU